rnacentral:rRNA from 1 species
AGAGUUUGAUCCUGGCUCAGGAUGAACGCUAGCGACAGGCUUAACACAUGCAAGUCGAGGGGCAGCACGGGAGUAGCAAUACAACUGGUGGCGACCGGCGCACGGGUGAGUAACGCGUAUGCAACCCACCUAUCAGAGGGGAAUAACCCGGCGAAAGUCGGACUAAUACCGCAUAAAACAGGGGCACCGCAUGGUGAUAUUUGUUAAAGAAAUUCGCUGAUAGAUGGGCAUGCGUUCCAUUAGGUAGUUGGUGAGGUAACGGCUCACCAAGCCGACGAUGGAUAGGGGAACUGAGAGGUUGGUCCCCCACACUGGUACUGAGACACGGACCAGACUCCUACGGGAGGCAGCAGUGAGGAAUAUUGGUCAAUGGGCGGGAGCCUGAACCAGCCAAGUCGCGUGAAGGAAGAAGGAUCUAUGGUUCGUAAACUUCUUUUGCAGGGGAAUAAAGUGCAGGACGUGUCCUGUUUUGUAUGUACCCUGAGAAUAAGGAUCGGCUAACUCCGUGCCAGCAGCCGCGGUAAUACGGAGGAUCCGAGCGUUAUCCGGAUUUAUUGGGUUUAAAGGGUGCGUAGGUGGUUUGAUAAGUCAGCGGUGAAAGUUUGCAGCUUAACUGUAAAAAUGCCGUUGAAACUGUCGGACUUGAGUGUAAAUGAGGUAGGCGGAAUGCGUGGUGUAGCGGUGAAAUGCAUAGAUAUCACGCAGAACUCCGAUUGCGAAGGCAGCUUACUAAGCUACAACUGACACUGAAGCACGAAAGCGUGGGGAUCAAACAGGAUUAGAUACCCUGGUAGUCG